AGUGAACGCUGGCGGUAGGCCUAACACAUGCAAGUCGAACGGCAGCACAGUAAGAGCUUGCUCUUACGGGUGGCGAGUGGCGGACGGGUGAGGAAUACAUCGGAAUCUACUUUUUCGUGGGGGAUAACGUAGGGAAACUUACGCUAAUACCGCAUACGACCUACGGGUGAAAGCAGGGGAUCUUCGGACCUUGCGCGAUUGAAUGAGACGAUGUCGGAUUAGCUAGUUGGCGGGGUAAAGGCCCACCAAGGCGACGAUCCGUAGCUGGUCUGAGAGGAUGAGCAGCCACACUGGAACUGAGACACGGUCCAGACUCCUACGGGAGGCAGCAGUGGGGAAUAUUGGACAAUGGGCGCAAGCCUGAUCCAGCCAUACCGCGUGGGUGAAGAAGGCCUUCGGGUUGUAAAGCCCUUUUGUUGGGAAAGAAAAGCAGCAGGUUAAUACCCCGCUGUUCUGACGGUACCCAAAGAAUAAGCACCGGCUAACUUCGUG
rnacentral:rRNA from 1 species